rnacentral:rRNA from 1 species
ACGGAGGGUGCAAGCGUUAUCCGGAAUCACUGGGUUUAAAGGGUGCGUAGGCGGAAAAUUAAGUCAGUGGUGAAAGCCUGUCGCUUAACGAUAGAACUGCCAUUGAUACUGAUUUUCUUGAAUUGGGUUGAGGUUAGCGGAAUGUGACAUGUAGCGGUGAAAUGCAUAGAUAUGUCAUGGAACACCAAUUGCGAAGGCAGCUAGCUGGGCCUUGAUUGACGCUGAGGCACGAAAGCGUGGGUAGCGAACAGGAUUAGAUACCCUGGUAGUCCACGCCCUAAACGAUGCUAACUCGAUGUUUGGGCGUAGUGCUUGAGCAUCCAAGGGAAACCGAUAAGUUAGCCACCUGGGGAGUACGACCGCAAGGUUG